UUUUAAUAUAAUUUUAAAUGAAGCUUCUUAAACGUUUUAAAAACCUUAUUUACUUUACAUACAUCAAUAGUAUAGUUACAUAUUAUAGACUUCUAGAAAGAGACCUUCUAAAAACAUUAACAUGUAUUACUGGCACGUGAAACCUUAAAUCAGAGUGAAUAAAUGAAGACUCGGCACAGCACUUCUGAAAGGUUGCCAACCCCUGAUCUAGAUGGUAUAGUCUUCAGCACUCAUAAAAAACAAAACAGCCCAUAAACAAAACCCGGGGGUGGGGGGGGGAAUCUGUGUUUGUGACAAGUGUUUUUGAUCCAACAUGAGAUUUGUUUACAUAAGAAUGGCCAUAUUGGCUCAGACCAAUGGUCCAUCUAGCCCAGGAUCCUGUGUCUGACUGGUCAGUGCCAAUGCUUCAGAGGGAAUGAACAGAACUGGGUGGUCAUCAAGUGAUCCAGGUCCAGCUUCUGUCAGUCAGAGACCUUGCUUUAGCGGGGGAAAAACCUGAAAAUUCAGUGUUGGUUUGAAACAAACCAACUGUUUUUGGUUUGGGAAUUUUUCAGUUCCUGGAAAAAAAAUCCAGCCUGUGUCCAAAAGAGACUGCCCUGUUCUGCAGUCUGAUCAGCAGCACCCCCCGGCUCCUUGUGACUAGAUCCGGGCUGUAUUCCUGGCUCCUCAUGAAAUUGCCAGAGAUCUCUGAUGUUUGUUUCAAUAACAUACUGAUUGCUUAAAGCAGGCAAAGCACACGAUUCGGAGUUGAUUUCUUUGAUAGCAGCAGAAGCUUCCCUCUCGAAGGCCCGCGACUGGGUGCUCUUUGGAUUUGUUCCUGGAGAACUGGCUGUUUCUGGACCAGGAGGGGCACUGCAAGGUCUGCUUCACAUGCAGUGGGGGAGUUUGCCCAGCACAUACCUGCACUCAGUGGGUUCUCCCCAGUUUAAGUGCUCUGAAUUCUGAGUGCUGCCAUUUGUGGACAUCACAGCUAGCAACCGCUCAGCUUACAGGAUUCGCCUGUGGUAAGAAAAUAGCAGUUGACUCCUUCUCAAGCUCCAUCAAAGGGAGAAAUGGGCAGACAACUUCCAAAGAGCUUUGCCCUGGGAGAGGGAAUGGAGAUCUAGAGCAGUAGCCAUAAAACCACUCGGACAGAAGUCAGAUUCGCACCCUGCUCUCGGCGGGAAUGGGGCCUGUUCACCUACAGCCAUCGCUCUGUCACAGCGAGUCCUCUGUUGGCCUGUGACUUCAGCAGGGCAGUGAGUGGAGGUAGUGCUUAGGGAUUUGGCGCCAGGAGCCAUCAAUUAACCGCACUAUGAGCGUGGCUCUCACGCUGCCUUGUGGAGGUGGGUAACCAGCGGCGUGGCACAGCGGAGGAGAUUGGGGUGUGGAGAAGUUAGGUGACUUGCUCAAGGCCACAUGAGGAAGCAGUGGCACAGCUGAGCACACUGAAUCAAGCUUUCCUGAAUCCCAGCUUCCUCGCCCAUCCAUCAGUUAUCCCACGGGGUGAGUCCCUUCAUUGGACAGCAGUUCUG
rnacentral:lncRNA from 1 species